rnacentral:rRNA from 1 species
UACGUAGGGUGCGAGCGUUGUCCGGAAUUAUUGGGCGUAAAGGGCUCGUAGGCGGUCUGUCACGUCGGGAGUGAAAACUCGGGGCUCAACCCCGAGCCUGCUUCCGAUACGGGCAGACUAGAGGUAUGCAGGGGAGAAUGGAAUUCCUGGUGUAGCGGUGAAAUGCGCAGAUAUCAGGAGGAACACCGGUGGCGAAGGCGGUUCUCUGGGCAUGUCCUGACGCUGAGGAGCGAAAGUGUGGGGAGCGAACAGG